ACUCCUACGGGAGGCAGCAGUGGGGAAUCUUGGACAAUGGGGGCGAACCCUGAUCCAGCCAUGCCGCGUGAGUGAUGAAGGCCUUAGGGUCGUAAAGCUCUUUCGCCUGUGAUGAUAAUGACAGUAGCAGGUAAAGAAAACCCCGGCUAACUCCGUGCCAGCAGCCGCGGUAAUACGGAGGGGGUUAGGCGUUGUUCGGAAUUACUGGGGCGUAAAGCGCGCGUAGGCGGAUUAGUCAGUUAGAGGUGAAAUCCCAGGGCUCAACCCUGGAACUGCCUUUAAUACUGCUAGUCUUGAGUUCGAGAGAGGUGAGUGGAAUUCCGAGUGUAGAGGUGAAAUUCGUAGAUAUUCGGAGGAACACCAGUGGCGAAGGCGGCUCACUGGCUCGAUACUGACGCUGAGGUGCGAAAGUGUGGGGGAGCAAACAGGAUUAGAUACCCUGGUAGGAUAGCG
rnacentral:rRNA from 1 species